rnacentral:snRNA from 1 species
GCAGUUACCUGGCAGGGGAGAUACCAUGAUCACGAAGGUGGUUUUCCCAAGGUGAGGCUCAUCCAUUGCACUGCGGGUGUGCUGACCCCUGCGAUUUCCCCAAAUGCGGGAAACUCGACUGCAUAAUUUGUGGUAGUUCCCUGUGCCCCAGGGAU